rnacentral:misc_RNA from 1 species
GGAGGGAUCAUUAACUAACUUAAAGGAAUUGACGGAAUGGCUUGGAGGAGGGGAGAGUAGAUAGAGUAGAGUUAGUCUAGUCAAGGGGCUUCCCUUUGACUCGGCUGCUCUACUUGAAGGGCUCUCUUUGAGUGGGGGUGAGUGAGUAGUCAAGACAGCUUCUGCCUGGCCUCUCUCGAGUCAGUUGUUUCGUUGCACAACUGCCUCAAGAUACCAAGUAUAUCGGCUGUUCUAGGCUAUGAUCUCAUUUCUCCGGCAACCCACUCACAACUGACCUCAGCGCAUAUCAGCCUUGGCUGGUACGGGUGCUGAAGGAUUUAAGGUGAACUGUAACUGUACCCAUUUUUAUCUAGUCUUUUUUCUCUCGUGAAGGCUUGGUGACCAAGCAAGCAGCUUGCUGCUAGCUUGUGAUCCAAACUCUAACGAAACCUAUAUGACCGUUGACGGUGGAUAACUUGGCUGGGGGCUCGACGAAGAACGUAGCUAGAUACGUUAACUAACGGGAUCUGCAUAAUACGUGACUCGUCGAACAUUCGAAUGCAUACUGCGCCUGCAGGCUUGCCUGACAGGCUCAUUUGCAUCAGUGUCGAUCUUCAUUCGUCUCUCUUCGUGAGGGGAUUCGUCGGCGUGUUUCUUCCUUAAGUGGAAGGGGUGCAUCGAUCAGAUAAACGAGUAAGUUAUCACUGCUUUCUAGUGAGGACGGGGUCGUCUGCAAAGUGGCUUGGUCGGUCCUGUUAGUGUAAGGCUUUUUGUGAUUUAUCACUCUAAGUACACCUCCUAACAGAUCACCACCUAGCUAUCCAAGCAGGCAACCUCUUCACGGUCUGCAAAGUACCUAGAUUCCGCAAGUGUAAGGCUUUUAGUGUCUAGUACAUACUGGGGUCACGGUGUUAAUUGAUGAAGUCUGAGCAAUCAUCUUCAUCAAACCUAACAGUCUGCUGCCCAGUAUGGAAUAGUCUCACUCUGAGCACACCUCCUUGCUGACUAGGUAUCCAAGCAGGUAGCCAAACUCAUUAGUUCAAGCAGCGCUAAUCUUGCUCACCUCGAGUGAGUAACUUCUUCGAAGUUAACUUGAUUUGCCUAACGCUCUUCAGUGAGUAAUUCGACCUGAUGUCAAGUGAGGGGACCCGCUGAAUUUAAGCAUAUAAUUAAGCGGAGGAAAAGAAACUAACUAGGAUUCUCUUAGUACCGGCGAGGGAAGAGAGAUCAGUCCAAGCCGAAUCUGCAGUGCCUUGUGCACUGCCGAAAUGUAGCUUGAUGACCUGCUUCACGAGUUAGCUAGUAGGUGGAAAUCCCUUGGAAUAGGGUGCCACAGAAGGUGAGAGCCCUGUACUGCCUACUAGUUAAUUCACCAGUGUAGCAAGGUCCUAGAGUAGCGUUGUUUGAGAGUACAGCGCGAAUUGGGUGGUAUGUACCAUCUAAGACUAAAUACCCCCCCCAGACCGAUAGCGAACAAGUACCGUGAGGGAAAGUUGCAAAGAACUCUGAAAAGAGAGUUAAAAGGACUUGAAACCGUCAACGGGGAAGCGCUGGCUAGCGACGUUUGGCUAAGUGUUCAAUCAGCUUAGCACUCUUGCUGGCUGGCAGCACUGUGAGCUAGAGUAUUCUAGCCGUAGUGUUGUCAGCUCAGUAGGAGUGCUGAGUGCACUUGAGCACUUAGUCACUCAACAUCAGUUAGCCUAGCUACUGAAGGGUUAGGGGAAGGUAGCUCUGCUGCGGUAGAGUGUUACAGCCUCUAGCACAAGGUAGUUGGGUUGACUGAGGAACUCAUCAGCAGUGGCCUUUGGCUGGGUAGGGUGGCUGCGUGUACUGCUAACGUUUAACACUGCUUGCAGUGUUAGGUGAUUAGUAGUGCGCACCAGGCUAUCAUCCACAGCACUGCUAGUGAUGUUGAGCUUGUCGAUAAUCAGCGUCCCGUCUUGAAACACGGACCAAGGAGUCUUAUGCAUAUGCAAGUUUUAGAGUGUUGCGUUAAACUCUAGGGCGAAAUGAAAGUAAGUGAUGGGAUGGGUAGUCUGCAGCUUGAGGCUACCUUGCACCAUUCACCGAUCCAAGGACUUGCUUCAAGGAUUUGAGUAGGAGCACAUGCAUAAGGACCCGAAAGACAGCGAACUAUGCGUGUAUAGGGUGAAGCCAGAAGAAAUUCUGGUGGAGGCUCGUAGCGAUACUGACGUGCAAAUCGUUCGUCAAAUAUACGUAUAGCGGCGAAAGACUAAUCGAGCUGUCUAGUAGCUGGUUCCCUC